rnacentral:rRNA from 1 species
UGGGAGCAGGCGAUAUCGUAUCAGCUAGUUGGUGAGGUAACGGCUCACCAAGGCGACGACGCGUAGCUGGUCUGAGAGGACGGCCAGCCACAUCGGGACUGAGACACUGCCCGGACUCCUACGGGGGGCUGCAGUAACGAAUCUUCCGCAAUGCACGAAAGUGUGACGGAGCGACGCCGCGUGUAGGAUGAAGUCCUUCGGGAUGUAAACUACUGUCAGGGGAAAGAAAGUUCUGAUCUACCCCAGAGGAAGAGGCGGCUAACUCUGUGCCAGCAGCCGCGGUAAUACAGAGGCCUCGAGUGUUAGGCGGAAUCACUGGGCUUAAAGCGUGUGUAGGUGGAGUUCUAAGUACCUUGUGAAAUCCCACGGCUCAACCGUGGAACUGCUGGGUAUACUGGUUCUCUUGAGGUACCUAGGGGCGAGCGGAACAAGUGGUGGAGCGGUGAAAUGCGUAGAUAUCACUUGGAACGCCAACGGUGAAAACAGCUCGCUGGGGGUAUCSUGACACUGAGACACGAAAGCCAGGGGAGCAAACGGGAUUAGAUACCCCGGUAGUCCUGGCCCUAAACGAUGUCCACUAGAUCGAAGUGCCUCUGACGGUAUUUCGGUCGAAGCAAAAGUGCUAAGUGGACCGCCUGGGAAGUACGGUCGCAAGGCUAAAACUCAAAGGAAUUGACGGGGGCUCACACAAGCGGUGGAGCAUGUGGUUUAAUUCGAAGCAACGCGCAGAACCUUACCUGGGUUUGACAUGCUAGGAUUACCCCGAUGAAAGUCGGGUACGCCUUCGGGUGGAACUAGCACAGGUGCUGCAUGGCUGUCGUCAGCUCGUGUCGUGAGAUGUCGGGUUAAGUCCCUUAACGAGCGAAACCUUUGCCCUUAGUUACUAACGGGUUAUGCCGAGGACUCUAAGGGGACUGCC